rnacentral:rRNA from 1 species
UACGGAGGGUGCGAGCGUUAAUCGGAAUUACUGGGCGUAAAGCGUGCGCAGGCGGUUUGGUAAGCGAGAUGUGAAAGCCCCGGGCUCAACCUGGGAACCGCAUUUCGAACUGGCAAACUAGAGGAUUGUAGAGGGGGGUAGAAUUCCAGGUGUAGCGGUGAAAUGCGUAGAGAUCUGGAGGAAUACCGGUGGCGAAGGCAGCCCCCUGGGCCUGUACUGACGCUCAUGCACGAAAGCGUGGGGAGCAAACAGG